UGAACUCAGAAAGCAUCACAGAUCUGCUGAGGAGAAGACAAUCAAAGAAUCAUCUGAACCAGACAAGAGAAAAUACAUGACCAUGCUUGGAAACGUUUGUAUGAUUCUUCUUCUGUUUGUUGCCUCUGGAAAUGGAGUGCCGACGGUUGCUCCAGUCACCACCACAGCUGCACUGGCAACUACAACCACACAAACCCCCACCACCAC